AAACUCGAUAUCAAGAAAGCU
rnacentral:misc_RNA from 1 species